GACGAACGCUGGCGGCGUGCUUAACACAUGCAAGUCGAACGGAAAGGCCCUGCUUUUGUUGGGUGCUCGAGUGGCGAACGGGUGUGUAACACGUGAGUAACCUGCCCUUGACUUUGGGAUAACUUCAGGAAACUGGGGCUAAUACCGGAUAGGAGCUCCUGCUGCAUGGUGGGGGUUGGAAAGUUUCGGCGGUUGGGGAUGGACUCGCGGCUUAUCAGCUUGUUGGUGGGGUAGUGGCUUACCAAGGCUUUGACGGGUAGACGGCCUGAGAGGGUGACCGGCGAAAUUGGGACUGAGAUACGGCCCAGAAUGCAACGGGAGGCAGGAGUGGGGAAUAUUGCAGAAUGGGAGGAAGCAUGAUGCAGAAACGCGGCGUGCGGGAUGAAGGGCUUCGGGUUGUAAACAGAUUUAGAAUGUGAAGAAGAGUGAGUGACGGUAAUGGGUAAAGAAGCACCGGCUAACUACGUG
rnacentral:rRNA from 1 species